ACGAACGCUGGCGGCGUGCUUAACACAUGCAAGUCGAACGGAAAGGCCCUGCUUUUGUGGGGUGCUCGAGUGGCGAACGGGUGAGUAACACGUGAGUAACCUGCCCUUGACUUUGGGAUAACUUCAGGAAACUGGGGCUAAUACCGGAUAGGAGCUCCUGCUGCAUGGUGGGGGUUGGAAAGUUUCGGCGGUUGGGGAUUGACUCGCGGCUUAUCAGCUUGUUGGUGGGGUAGUGGCUUACCAAGGCUUUGACGGGUAGCCGGCAUGAGAGGGUGACCGGCCACAUUGGGACUGCGAUACGGCCCAGACUCCUACGGGAGGCAGCAGUGGGGAAUAUUGCACAAUGGGCGGAAGCCUGAUGCAGCAACGCCGCGUGCGGGAUGACGGCCUUCGGGUUGUAAACCGCUUUCGCCUGUGACGAAGCGUGAGUGACGGUAAUGGGUAAAGAAGCACCGGCUAACUACGUG
rnacentral:rRNA from 1 species